rnacentral:rRNA from 1 species
GACGAACGCUGGCGGCGUGCUUAACACAUGCAAGUCGAACGAUGACGACCGAGCUUGCUCGGUCUGAUUAGUGGCGAACGGGUGAGUAACACGUGAGCAACCUGCCCUUCACUCUGGGAUAACCUCGGGAAAUCGGGGCUAAUACCGGAUAUGAGCUCCUGUCGCAUGGCGGGUGUUGGAAAGUUUUUCGGUGAAGGAUGGGCUCGCGGCCUAGUAGUUUGUUGGUGAGGUAGUGGCUCACCAAGGCGAUGACGGGUAGCCGGCCUGAGAGGGCGACCGGCCCCACGGGGACUGAGACAGAGCCCAGACUCCCACGGGGGGGGGAGGGGGGGAAUAUUGCCCAAUGGGCGAAAGCCUGAUGCGGCGACCCCGCGUGAGGGAUGAGGGCCUUGGGGUUGUAAACCUCUUUCCGCAGGGAAGAAGCGAAAGUGACGGGACCUGCAGAAGAAGCGCCGGUUAAAUACGU